GAAUUCAUCUGUUACAUGGGCAAAUAUGAGGAAGAUCAUGGAGUUGUUAAGCUUGGAUAUGGCUAUCUUUAUUUGAUGCCUUGUUCUUCAAGUUAAUAUUGUGCAUUGUUUGUUGCUUGAUUCUAAUGUCUAAGGGAAUUUGGGUUUCUAUAUGACAUUCUUGUCUAUUGGAUUGCAGCCCAUUGGUCAGAUCUUUUCAACUCUUAACUUUUAAAUUUAUGCUUAG
rnacentral:lncRNA from 1 species